UACGGGGGGGGUAAGCGUUGUUCGGAAUUACUGGGCGUAAAGGGCUCGUAGGCGGCCAACUAAGUCAGACGUGAAAUCCCUCAGCUUAACUGGGGAACUGCGUCUGAUACUGGAUGGCUUGGAUUCGGGAGAGGAAUGCGGAAUUCCAGGUGUAGCGGUGAAAUGCGUAGAUAUCUGGAGGAACACCGGUGGCGAAGGCGGCAUUCUGGACCGACAUUGACGCUGAGGCGCGAAAGCCAGGGGAGCAAACAGG
rnacentral:rRNA from 1 species